CCUACGGGGGGCUGCAGUGGGGAAUAUUGGACAAUGGGGGAAACCCUGACCCAGCGACGCCGCGUGAGUGAAGAAGUAUUUCGGUAUGUAAAGCUCUGUCAGCAGGGAAGAAAAUGACGGUACCUGACCAAGAAGCCCCGGCUAACUACGUGCCAGCAGCCGCGGUAAUACGUAGGGGGCAAGCGGUAUUCGGAUUUACUGGGGGUAAAGGGGGCGUAGGCGGCAGGGCAAGUCUGGAGUGAAAGGCGGGGGCUCAACCCCCGGACUGCUCUGGAAACUGCCGGGCUGGAGUGCAGGAGAGGUAAGUGGAAUUCCUGGUGUAGCGGUGAAAUGCGUAGAUAUUAGGAGGAACACCAGUGGCGAAGGCGGCUUACUGGACUGUAACUGACGUUGAGGCUCGAAAGCGUGGGGAGCAAACAGGAUUAGAUACCCUGGUAGUC
rnacentral:rRNA from 1 species